rnacentral:rRNA from 1 species
GUCGAACGGUAACAUAAAGAAGCUUGCUUCUUUGAUGACGAGUGGCGGACGGGUGAGUAAUGCUUGGGAAUCUAGCUUAUGGAGGGGGAUAACUACGGGAAACUGUAGCUAAUACCGCGUAAUAUCGAAAGAUUAAAGUGUGGGACCUUCGGGCCACAUGCCAUAGGAUGAGCCCAAGUGGGAUUAGGUAGUUGGUGAGGUAAAGGCUCACCAAGCCGACGAUCUCUAGCUGGUCUGAGAGGAUGACCAGCCACACUGGGACUGAGACACGGCCCAGACUCCUACGGGAGGCAGCAGUGGGGAAUAUUGCGCAAUGGGGGCAACCCUGACGCAGCCAUGCCGCGUGAAUGAAGAAGGCCUUCGGGUUGUAAAGUUCUUUCGGUAGCGAGGAAGGCAUUUAGUUUAAUAGACUAGGUGAUUGACGUUAACUACAGAAGAAGCACCGGCUAACUCCGUGCCAGCAGCCGCGGUAAUACGGAGGGUGCGAGCGUUAAUCGGAAUAACUGGGCGUAAAGGGCACGCAGGCGGUGACUUAAGUGAGGUGUGAAAGCCCCGGGCUUAACCUGGGAAUUGCAUUUCAUACUGGGUCGCUAGAGUACUUUAGGGAGGGGUAGAAUUCCACGUGUAGCGGUGAAAUGCGUAGAGAUGUGGAGGAAUACCGAAGGCGAAGGCAGCCCCUUGGGAAUGUACUGACGCUCAUGUGCGAAAGCGUGGGGA